GAUGAACGCUAGCGGCAGGCUUAAUACAUGCAAGUCGAGGGGUAGCAAGAUUGUAGCGAUACAAUUGUUGACGACCGGCAAACGGGUGCGGAACACGUACACAACCUUCCUACAAGUGGGGAAUAGCCCAGAGAAAUUUGGAUUAAUACCCCGUAACAUAGCGAUGUGGCAUCACAUUGCUAUUAUAGCUUCGGCGCUUGUUGAUGGGUGUGCGGCUGAUUAGAUAGUUGGCGGGGUAACGGCCCACCCAGUCUACGAUCAGUAGCUGAUGUGGGAGCAUGAUCAGCCACACGGGCACUGAGACACGGGCCCGACUCCUACGGGAGGCAGCAGUAAGGAAUAUUGGACAAUGGACGCAAGUCUGAUCCAGCCAUGCCGCGUGAAGGAUUAAGGUCCUCUGGAUUGUAAACUUCUUUUAUAAGGGACGAAAAAAGGUCUUUCUAGAUCGUCUGACGGUACCUUAUGAAUAAGCACCGGCUAACUCCGUGCCAGCAGCCGCCGUAACAC
rnacentral:rRNA from 1 species